UUUAGAUAUCAUUUCUCUAUAAUAAUUACUUUUCAUUUUUUCUAAUUUUAGAUUCUAUAAUGGAAUUAAUAUGCCGGAUGUUCAGUUCGCUCCUCUUUCUGAACCUCAUGCAAUGAUAGCGACGUCCUCCGGUCCUCUUCAUCUUGUCUUCCACCAUCAAAGCCACUAAUAUCGAAGCCGGCAUCGAAACACAGCCAUGGCCAUCCUCAGACUCUCAAGAACACACUUCUCUCUUUCUCGUCCCCGCAAAACCUUUUCCUUCUCCUCAUCCACCUCCAACCCACCCUGGUACAAGUAUACACCCCCUCCGCCACCUUGCCAAUACGACCCGCUACUCUCAGCAAUCUCUGAGGCCAUUCUCAACACCAAAGGAAAGCCCGGCGACUCCUCUCUCAACAAGCUCCUUCCGUCCCUCACAGCCAAUCACAUAAUCAAUCUCAUCAACCUCAACCCCCACUCUCUCCCCCCACAUUCUCUCCUCUCUUUCUUCGACUGGCUCUCUUCCCAGCCCACCUUCCGCCACACCCUCCACUCCUACUGCACCAUGAUCCACUUUCUUUCCUCCCGUAACAUGCUCCCACAAGCCCAGUCCCUUCUCCACUUCGUUGUCUCUCGGAAAGGCAAGGACUCGGCGUGCUCAGUCUUUGCUUGCGUUAUCGAAACCAAAGGUACCAAUUACUCCAGUUUUGUGUUUGAUGCUUUGAUGUAUGCGUAUGCGGAUAAUGGGUUUGUGUCAGAUGCUAUUCAGUGCUUUAGAUUGAUCAGGAAGCAUAAAUUUGGAGUCCCAUUUCGUGGUUGUGGGUAUUUGCUUGAUAAGAUGAUGAAGUCAAACUCGCCCGCUUCGGCGUGGGCAUUUUAUAUGGAGAUUUUGGAUUGUGGUUAUCCGCCUACUGUGUAUAAUUUCAAUGUCUUGAUGCAUAAACUGUGUAAAGAGUGUAAGCUUAAAGAAGCUCAGCUGGUAUUUGAUGAAAUUGAGAAGUGGGCCUUGCGUCCUACAGUUGUUAGUUUCAAUACUUUGAUUAAUGGUUAUUGCAAGUCUGGGGAGUUAGAAGUGGGGUUUAGGUUGAAGAGGGUCAUGGAGGAGAGUGGCAUGUGUUCUGAUGUUUUCACUUACAGUGCGUUGAUUAAUGGGUUGUGUAAGGAGAGUAGGCUGGACGAUGCAAAUAGGUUGUUCGAUGAAAUGCAUGAGAGGGGGUUGGUUCCAAAUGAUGUUACUUUCACAACUUUGAUUGAUGGUCAAUGCAAGAAUGGGAGAAUUGAUUUAGCCAUGGAAGUUUAUCAGCAAAUGUUGAGGAAAGGUGUGAAACCUGAUUUGAUAACAUACAAUACAGUGAUCAAUGGCCUUUGCAAGGUUGGAGAUUUGGAAAAAGUUCAGAAGCUUGUUGAUGAGAUGAGUGCGCAGGGUUUGAAACCUGACAAAAUCACAUACACUACACUAAUUGAUGGAUAUUGCAAGGAAGGAGAUUUAGAGUCGGCCAUGAAGACUAGGAAGGAAAUGAGUGAAGAAGGGAUUGAGCUUGAUAAUGUGGCUUUCACAGCUCUUAUUUCGGGGCUGUCUAGAGAGGGAAGAGUUGUUGAUGCAGAAAGAACUUUGAGGGAGAUGGUGAAUGCUGGUAUGAAGCCUGAUGAUGCAACGUAUACAAUGGUCAUGGAUGGUUUUUGUAAGAAUGGUGAUAUUAAAAUGAGUUUUAAGUUGCUCAGGGAGAUGCAGGGUGAUGGACAUGUACCUGGAAUUGUAACGUAUAAUGUGCUUAUGAAUGGACUCUGUAAGCGGGGGCAGAUGAAAAAUGCUAAUAUGCUCUUAGAUGCCAUGCUUAAUUUGGGGGUGAUUCCGGAUGAUAUUACAUACAAUAUUCUGUUAGAAGGGCAUUGCAAGAAUGGUAACCCAGAGUAUUUUGAUAAAUUACGAAGUGAGAAAGGACUUAUUCCAGAUUAUGCUUCUUACACUGCCCUAGUUAAUGAAUUCAGUAAAAGUUCAAAGGAUCGCCGCAGGAGAUGAUUGUGACAUGUCUUCAAAAUAACAACUAUGAAGGUUAGCCGGCUCAAUGGACUGGUGAAUGCCUGACCUGUACAUGAAUAAGGAUACUUGAGAUAAUUUCUUACUUCAUCUGCUCAGAGAACACAAAUGAAUAGAGCAACCUAAGAUGAUUUCCAAUCAUUGGAUGGUUUCCAGUCAGUAAGGAGCUACCAAAUCAUUGCUUAUGGACAUAGCCUGAAUAUCUAUGGCAGAAUUCUGAAACAGAGAAAAAAGAAUAGCUUUCAUUUGGCUGUCUUUUGACUCACGCCAUUGUGGCAAGAGCAACUGCAAUCUAGAAAGCGCAAGUGCAAGAAUCAUCUACUGCCAUGCCUUUCAAUAUAUGUCACUUGCCUGUUACAGCGGACACUCAAAGGGAACUCGUCCUCAACAUUGAGCAAUUCCUGCAGGUUGUUGUGUUAGCUUUUAUUUCUCUUACAAAAAGAACUUGAAGGUUAAAUCAUGAUAGAACUGGAGAUUGGAUAUUAUACCUUUGAUCCCUGUAAGGGGAUUGCCGUGGAUGGUUAUAAAGUGCCUUGGGUUUUCAGACAGUCAAGUUUUUUAGUUUGCUUGAAAUAUGCAAGGUCCCAUGACUUCAGCAGAAUAUUAUUCUGCUUUCUGACUUCUUACUUCGAAGCCAGAAUUGCAAAAAGGAUUCAAGAUGGCAGGGUGAUAGUUUAACAUAUGACACGCCUACCAAUGGUCUGAAGUCGAAACAUGCUAAUGUAUGCUGUGCUUAACAAAGGGAUCCUUCCAAAUAACAUUAUAUGCAUCUGUCUACUAGGAUAUUUCAAGCAUGAAAAAGCAGAAGAUGUUGGUGGAUAACAAAAUGCCAAGGAGCUUCUUUCAGAUCUAUUAGGCAUCUUGUCCACUACUAAGUGAUUUCAUUCAGCCAUUCAGGUCACAUGAUGAUCGUCUUAAGGACUCAGUUGGGAAUUGGUACAUUAUCUUGACAACAUAGGGAAACUUACUUCGGCUAUAUUUCUGCUAUUGCCAAGGUUUGAGCUACGAUUGAUUCCUCAGAAAAGAUUUGUCAACAUGUGAUUAUUCUAUCUUGGGCUUGGGCUGGUUUAGACUUUCAAAGCCAAGACUUGGCAGGGUGUUGCAGCAGUGUACUCUAAAAUAAGGGGCGAGGCAGAAUGAUGUCGGGAGAUGGUUCAAAUUCUAUAUAUUUUUACAUGUAUUUAACUGAAGAUUCGCCUUGUUCACGCCUUCGAACUUGGUUCGUGGGACUCGAACUAAAAAGGGGGGGAUUUAUCUUGCAAUCAAAGCAUUUACAAUUUAAGACAAAAAAGCUUUGCAAGUCAUGAGUUGGUAUUAUCGUAAUAUUUAUUAUAGUUAUCAAAAAAUAAAAUUUAUAGUCUUUUUAUGUGACAAGAUUAUUUGAUGUGUCAACAAACAUAUUU